GAUGAACGCUGGCGGCGUGCCUAAUACAUGCAAGUCGAGCGACCAGACGAGGAGCUUGCUCCUCUGACGUUAGCGGCGGACGGGUGAGUAACACGUGGAUAACCUACCUCUAAGACUGGGAUAACUUCGGGAAACCGGAGCUAAUACCGGAUAAUAUAUUGAACGGCAUGGUUCAAUAGUGAAAGACGGUUUUGCUGUCACUUAUAGAUGGAUCCGCGCCGCAUUAGCUAGUUGGUAAGGUAACGGCUUACCAAGGCAACGAUGCGUAGCCGACCUGAGAGGAUGAUCGGCCACACUGGAACUGAGACACGGUCCAGACUCCUACGGGAGGCAGCAGUAGGGAAUCUUCCGCAAUGGGCGAAAGCUUGACGGAGCAACGCCGCGUGAGUGAUGAAGGUCUUCGGAUCGUAAAACUCUGUUAUUAGGGAAGAACAAAUGUGUAAGUAACUAUGCACGUCUUGACGGUACCUAAUCAGAAAGCCACGGCUAACUACGUG
rnacentral:rRNA from 1 species